GACGAACGCUGGCGGCGUGCCUAACACAUGCAAGUCGAACGGAAAGGUCCUGCUUUUGUGCGGUGGUCGAGUGGCGAACGGGGGAGUAACACGUGAGUAACCUCUCCCUGACUGUGGGGGAUCUUCAGGAAACUGGGGCUAUUACCGCAUAGGAUCUCUUGCUGCAUGGUGGGCGUUGGUAAGUUUCGGUGGUUGGGGAUGGACUCGCGGCUUAUCAGCUUGAUGGUGUGGUAGUGUCUUACCAAGGCUUUGAGGGGUAGCCGGCCUGGGAGGGGGACCGGCGACAUUGGGACUGGGAUACGGCCCAGACUCCAACGGGAGGCAGCAGUGGGGAAUAUUGCAGAAUGGGCGGGAGCCUGAUGCGGCAACGCAGCGUGCGGGAUGACGGGCUUCGGGUUGUGAACAAAUGUCGACUGUGCCGAGGCGUGAGUGACGGUACUGGGUAAAGAAGCACCGGCUAACUACGUG
rnacentral:rRNA from 1 species